GGGGAAUAUUGCACAAUGGGGGAAACCCUGAUGCAGCGACGCCGCGUGAGUGAAGAAGUAUUUCGGUAUGUAAAGCUCUAUCAGCAGGGACGAUAAUGACGGUACCUGACUAAGAAGCCCCGGCUAACUACGUGCCAGCAGCCGCGGUAAUACGUAGGGGGCAAGCGUUAUCCGGAUUUACUGGGUAUAAAGGGAGCGUAGGUGGCUGGAUAAGUCAGAUGUGAAAGCCCAGGGCUCAACCCUGGGACUGCAUUUGAAACUAUCUGGCUAGAGUGCAGGAGAGGUAAGUGGAAUUCCUAGUGUAGCGGUGAAAUGCGUAGAUAUUAGGAGGAACACCAGUGGCGAAGGCGGCUUACUGGACUGUAACUGACACUGAGGCUCGAAAGCGUGGGGAGCAAAC
rnacentral:rRNA from 1 species